UACGUAGGGGGCUAGCGUUGUCCGGAUUUAUUGGGCGUAAAGAGCGUGUAGGCGGCCAGGUAGGUCUGCUGUGAAAACUCGAGGCUCAACCUCGAGACGUCGGCGGAAACCAUAUGGCUAGAGUCCGGAAGAGGAGAGUGGAAUUCCUGGUGUAGCGGUGAAAUGCGCAGAUAUCAGGAAGAACACCGAUGGCGAAGGCAGCUCUCUGGGACGGUACUGACGCUGAGACGCGAAAGCGUGGGGAGCGAACAGG
rnacentral:rRNA from 1 species